AGUGAACGCUGGCGGUAGGCCUAACACAUGCAAGUCGAACGGCAGCACAGUAAGAGCUUGCUCUUACGGGUGGCGAGUGGCGGACGGGUGAGGAAUACAUCGGAAUCUACUUUUUCGUGGGGGAUAACGUAGGGAAACUUACGCUAAUACCGCAUACGACCUACGGGUGAAAGCAGGGGAUCUUCGGACCUUGCGCGAUUGAAUGAGCCGAUGUCGGAUUAGCUAGUUGGCGGGGUAAAGGCCCACCAAGGCGACGAUCCGUAGCUGGUCUGAGAGGAUGAUCGGCCACACUGGAGCUGGGACACGGUCCAGGCGCCUACGAGAGGCAGCAGUGGGGAAUAUUGGGCAAUGGGCGCAAGCCUGAUCCAGCCAUACCGCGUGGGUGAAGAAGGCCUUCGGGUUGUAAAGCCCUUUUGUUGGGAAAGAAAAGCAGCAGGUUAAUACCCCGCUGUUCUGACGGUACCCAAAGAAUAAGCACCGGCUAACUUCGUG
rnacentral:rRNA from 1 species